ensembl:lncRNA
GUGUUUUCUCAGAGGACCUGUGUGGCAUUUAGCUUCUGUUUCUUCUGCAUAGUAUUUGAAAUAAGCAAAUCACAGUGCGACAAAUCCACACAGAUAUCCAGUCUUUUGUCUACACCAGUCAGUUUUAAUAGGAUCUCUUCUUCAGGGCUUUUUUCCCCAUUAACAGGAUUCAACAAAUCUUGAGAGCGCUAUGGAGAGAGUUAAACUCUCAAGGGAUGGUGUGAAGCUGUGAAUUUGGAGGAGUUUCAACUGGAGCAGAUGUGCGAGGACUAAUGUGCGUUAUUGAUGUUUGGAUUUUUUUUUUCUCUCUCCGCUGCUCUUCUGUCUUGGGAUCCCUCACGCACUUCACAAGCGCUGGGACCAAGCAGCAUAACCGCAUCCGUCUCCUGGUCACAGAAGAGAUCUGAGAGGUACGUGCAACUUCGGUUCACAAGCCUGAGUCUCUACGAACAUAGAUUUAGCGGUGUUUGAUCUGAGAGGAGGUGUUAAAGUUCAGCAUUUAUACUGACAAAUGUUAACAGGACUUUUGUGCAGAACUCUCAUUGGGCACAAAGCAGCAUGCAUGUUCUCUGAAAAUAUUGAGAGGGGAUUUUAAAGCCAGUGCACAUAAAAAAGGGCUGGUUCAAACAGAAUGCAUGGCUUUUUGAUAGUCUUUGAGUGUUGCACUGCUUUCUCAUACACAAGCAUCAUGUUUUUAAGUUAAAAGAAAUGCCACUUUUAAAAAUGCAUCUCAAGACCCUACCUUCUUCUGCAAUUGGAUACUAAUAUGUGUUGUCCUAUUUUUUUACCGGCCUCUAAUACUGCUAAAAACUGGUAUGAUGUAACUUUCAUUGAUUAGUUGAUUUUGUUAAGUUUGUGAUGCACUGUUGA